GAGUUUGAUCGUGGCUCAGAUUGAACGCUGGCGGCAUGCCUUACACAUGCAAGUCGAACGGCAGCACGGGAGCUUGCUCCUGGUGGCGAGUGGCGAACGGGUGAGUAAUGCAUCGGAACGUAUCCUGGAGUGGGGGAUAACGUAGCGAAAGUUACGCUAAUACCGCAUAUUCUGUGAGCAGGAAAGCGGGGGACCUUCGGGCCUCGCGCUCUUGGAGCGGCCGAUGUCGGAUUAGCUAGUUGGUGAGGUAAAGGCUCACCAAGGCGACGAUCCGUAGCAGGUCUGAGAGGAUGAUCUGCCACACUGGAACUGAGACACGGUCCAGACUCCUACGGGAGGCAGCAGUGGGGAAUUUUGGACAGUGGGGGCAACCCUGAUCCAGCCAUGCCGCGUGAGUGAAGAAGGCCUCGG
rnacentral:rRNA from 1 species